GGGCGUGUGGCUCAGUUGGUAGAGCGUUCGCUUAGCAUUCAUUCUUUCAUGAUGCGAAAGGUCCUGAGUUCGAUUCUUAGCUCGUCCA